CAAAUUUUGAGGGCCCCAUGUUGGCAGACAUGUAAAUGUCCGCAAAUAAGCUGAAGAGAUCUUCCGGAAAGGUAUAGGCGAUGUGUGCCACAGGCCUCCAGUAGGUGCCGGGAUGCAUGCGCCCUUGGGCACGGCGCAUCAAGGCACCCUAGCCUCCAGGAUUAGUAGUGGUGGCGGUCACUCCAAAAUUUCGCCUUAACCGAAGAACAUGUCUGGAGUGGGACCCGUUAUGAGGCAAUUCCAGAGAAGAUGAUGCCACAAAAGAGGCCUGCCCCAACCAGUGACAGUAGAGGCUAGAGCACCAACAGUGACGACGAGAGUGAUCACUUUGGUAUAACUCCAAUGGCCACUGAAAGUAUGUUGCCACACAGACUGGAGAGUAUUUUCUAGGACACGCUGUCUAAAGGACUGCUGUAAGUGUACACAAACAUGCAAGAAAUAGAUUAAAUGUGCACAGGUUAUAUAUAUAUAUUAUUUAUUUAUUUAUACAUGCUGGAGCCUCAAUGAGGCUAUUGCAGGAUUGGGAUGAACAACAAACAUACGACAUUUAUGAACAAGCUUGCGUGAAUUGUUUCAGUGGUAGUGAACAUACGUUGCCCGGUAAUGAAUUCCAGACUUCAAUUGCUGAUGGAAAAAAACUGUGCUUAAAAGAAUCAGUGCGGGCAAAAAAGGUUGAGAUAUUUAGAGCAUGGCGACUCCUCGUACAUGAGGGUUUGGAAAAAGUAGUUAUCUAGAGAGGUGAGGAGAACUGAAUAACGUGUGAAGGAAUUUUAGGCUUUCAAGUUUGCGAUGCUCUAGGAGUGAGACCAAGUAGGGGAAGAGAGUUAGAUGGCCAAAAUUCCGUCAUAUCUCCUACAAACAAAAUGCACUGCCCUUUUUUGCACUGAUUCUAGUUUUUUUGACGUCACAGUGUUUGUAUGGGUUCCAUACAACGCAGCCAUAUUCGAGGAUGGGGCGAAUAAGGGUUUUAUAUGUAAGAAGUUUAGUUUCUUGAGGAGCAAGACGCAGCAUAGGAUGUAAGUAACCUAGUCUUUUAAGGGCUUUGUUACAGAUGACAGACAUCAAUGUGUUUUGACCAUGACAAAUCAUGUGUUAGUAGGAUACCUGAAUAUUUGAAUUCGAAGACCCUAUUUAAUGUAAUAUUGUUAAAGGCAUAGGCAAAGAAGGAAGGGCAUGAGCGUCAUAUAAAGGACAUGGAGGCAGUUUUGGAAAGGCUGAUAUUCAUUUGCCAUGCUUUGGACCAGUUACAGAAGUCAGCAAAAUAAUUUUUAAGGACAACAUGAUCAGUAGGAGAUUUAACUGUAUGAUAUAAAACGCAAUCAUGAGCAAAAAGACGUAUUUUAACUGAGGUGUGUAGGGGGAGAUCAAUAAUAUAAAGCAGAAAUAAAAGAGGACCCAGUACUCAGCCUUGGGGAACCCCUGAUGAAACAGGCAUCAAGGGUGAGUUAGUAGAGUUGAAAAAUACAUAUUGCGAACGCUGGGAAAGAAAGUCCGAUAUCCAGCCAACCAAAGAUGCAUUUUUUUAGUAUAGCGAACAGCUUGUGCAUAAGUUUAGGGUGUGAGACAGUGUCGAAGGCCUUUGAAAAGUCUAUAAAAACAGCAUCAAUCUGGUCACCUAUGUCUAAAGAGCUGCUGAUGUCAUGAAUGAAUUCUGUCAGUUGUGUUAUAGUGCUAAGGCUACGUCUAAAACCAUGCUGGAAAAUGCAUAAAAUUUUGUUAGUUGCAAGAAAUUCCAUAUGUUUAAAGAUAAUGUGUUCGAGUAAUUUACAUGAGUGUGAUGUUAAGGAGAUUGGCCUAUACAUGUAGUUAGAUGGCAAUUGAACGUUACCCGACUUAAAUAACGGCAAAAUUGAAGCAAGUUUCCACGAGGGAGGAACGGUGGCGGUUGAGAGAGAUUUUCUAAAGAUAAUUGUUACAUAUCUGCUGCACCAAAGAGAGUAUCGAAUGAGAAAAACAGUUUGGAUACCAUUGGGACCAAAUGACUUCUUGGUGUCUAAGUUUAGGAUUAAGUUAAGUACACCCUCAGUAGACAGUUAUAUAUCGUCAAUUGUAGGGUAUGGUUCGGAGUCAAGAACAGGGGUUACAGAAUUACCGGUCAUAAAUACAGAGUGGAAGUAGGUGUUAAAAGAAGAAGCUAUUGUCUGCGAAUCAAACUGCAACAUUAAUAAUAUGUCCGAGGAUGACCCAGGUGGUAGGAUAGCUUUCCAAAAUUUUCGGGGAUUAACCAGCAUUAAUUUCGGAAAGGUUACCUUGUAAUAAAAUUAUUUUGCAGCAACCAUUUUAGAACAGAGUUCCUUUUUAGCGCUAGGGAAUUGCAUGAGUUUUGUUGAGUCACCAGAGCUUUUCGAUGAAUGUAAUCUGGCUACACGACGUGAUAAAUGCAAAAGGUCCCUAGUCAUCCAAGGAAUUUCAGUGUUUGUUUUCUUUGUUUUUAACCCAUUCAGGGUCAAUUUUUUUUGCCAUAUGUGACCACCCAGGGUCGAUUUCUUUAUUGCAAAUUCCAAUUCUUCUUAGGGACCUAUUUUGAAAAAAAUUUACCGUAAUUUUUCUAGGGUGACCGUAAAGUGAGAAAAAGAUAUUUUGCGUUGGUAUAUAUGUACUCUUUAUUCAUGAAUAACAAUAAAGAAAGGAAAUAAACUUAUAAGAAUUAAAAAUUUGAUGCAUUGUUAUAGUUCAAGGCUUAGAAUAUGUGCACACGACAAUAUUUCACAAGUCUCAAAUGUUCCUGCUCUUACAGUCAUAUUUACGUCCAUAGCCUAAUCGAACUGCGUAGGUGAGCAGACCAAAAAAACUGUGUGGCUGUGUGCCCCCCCCC